CAGUAGUUAAGAGCUCUUUUAGAAUUUGUCUAGAAGGCUUGGAAAGCCCCA
ensembl:snRNA U7 U7 small nuclear RNA